GGCGCACGGGUGAGUAACGCAUAGGUAACGUGCCCCUUAGUCUGGGAUAGCCACUGGAAACGGUGAAUAAUACCGGAUACUCCUUCUCACUUAAUGUGAGUCGGGAAAGUUUUUCGCUAAGGGAUCGGCCUAUGUCCUAUCAGGUAGUUGGUGAGGUAAGAGCUCACCAAGCCUAUGACGGGUAGCGGGUCUGAGAGGAUGAUCCGCCACACUGGUACUGAGACACGGACCAG
rnacentral:rRNA from 1 species